GAAAUUUAGCCAGUUGAAUGUGAUGG
rnacentral:piRNA from 2 species